rnacentral:rRNA from 1 species
AGAGUUUGAUCCUGGCUCAGGAUGAACGCUGGCGGCGUGCUUAACACAUGCAAGUCGAACGAUGAUCCCAGCUUGCUGGGGGAUUAGUGGCGAACGGGUGAGUAACACGUGAGUAACCUGCCCUUAACUCUGGGAUAAGCCUGGGAAACUGGGUCUAAUACCGGAUAUGACUCCUCAUCGCAUGGUGGGGGGUGGAAAGCUUUAUUGUGGUCGAUGGACUCGCGGCCUAUCAGCUUGUUGGUGAGGUAAUGGCUCACCAAGGCGACGACGGGUAGCCGGCCUGAGAGGGUGACCGGCCACACUGGGACUGAGACACGGCCCAGACUCCUACGGGAGGCAGCAGUGGGGAAUAUUGCACAAUGGGCGAAAGCCUGAUGCAGCGACGCCGCGUGAGGGAUGACGGCCUUCGGGUUGUAAACCUCUUUCAGUAGGGAAGAAGCGAAAGUGACGGUACCUGCAGAAGAAGCGCCGGCUAACUACGUGCCAGCAGCCGCGGUAAUACGUAGGGCGCAAGCGUUAUCCGGAAUUAUUGGGCGUAAAGAGCUCGUAGGCGGUUUGUCGCGUCUGCCGUGAAAGUCCGGGGCUCAACUCCGGAUCUGCGGUGGGUACGGGCAGACUAGAGUGAUGUAGGGGAGACUGGAAUUCCUGGUGUAGCGGUGAAAUGCGCAGAUAUCAGGAGGAACACCGAUGGCGAAGGCAGGUCUCUGGGCAUUAACUGACGCUGAGGAGCGAAAGCAUGGGGAGCGAACAGGAUUAGAUACCCUGGUAGUCCAUGCC